ACUGUUUUUUUUUUUCAAUAGAAACCUGCAACCUAGGGAAAACUAGGGAAAAGAUGAUAGUCUGACUGCUGCUUGCACAAAUAGCAGGGAGGCCUUUCUUUAGUACAAUGGACUGACAAUGAGCAUAGUUUUUGUAAGGAUGUGAAAAUUCUGGUGGAGAGAGAACUGAUUGAUCUGCACCCCUGCCCUGAUAGAAGAGCUGGAAUAACAAGUUACGAAAUACAACCAUCAUCACAGCUGAGAAGGAUGUGAGAGCCGAUUCUGCACUGCAAUCACCAGCUCACAGCACUUAGUUGAAUGUCUCCUCUCCUCCAAAACCAGAGCCAAGGCCAUCAGCAGAACCCUCAAAGUCAUCUGAGAUGAGAUACUGCAGGAUUAAAUAUGAACUUUUCCUCAAAGGUUUGAUGGAUCAAAGUUAUAGUGUCUUCAGCAAUUUUUAUCCAAUUAUAGUUUGAAGAGUUAAGCUAUAACUUAAACUUAUAUUUAAGCAAAACCAGCAUAAGUGAAAAAAAGUACCACUUCAAAACAGAUUCAAAAACAAGAAAUAGAACAAAAGCUUAAGAACUUUUGCUAAAAAUUAUCUCCCUUUCUGCAACCACUUGGAAGAAAAGGGGGUAAAACAUAACGAUAAAAUGUUAAUUACUUGGAACACAUUUAACCAGACUUUUCAAUCAUUUGGAUCAUUUUUUGCCUUUUGGUUAUUUUUGGACAAAUAUUUCUGCAAUUUGAAACAUAAUUUAACUCUUCUAGAACCAUGCUUCUUUGCAAUAGCAUCAAUAGUUUAGCACAAAAUUUUAAGAAGUGUAAUGCUAUGAAGAAUAGCAUAGUAAGAAAUUUUUUUUUCUGCAAACAUUCUUGGUUGUUAAAGAAAAUUGUUUUAAAACACAAGCUUGGGAGGCCGAGGCGGGCGGAUCACGAGGUCAGGAGAUCGAGACCAUCCUGGCUAACACAGUGAAACCCCGUCUCUACUAAAAAUACAAAAAAAUUUGCCAGGCGUGGUGUCGGGCAACUGUAGUCCCAGCUACUCAGGAGGCUGAGGCAGGAGAAUGGCAUGAACCCAGGAGGUGGAGUUUGCAGUGAGCCGAGAUCGUGCCACUGCACUCCAGCCUGGGCAACAGAGUGAGACCCCGACUGAAAAAAACAAAAAACAAAAAAACACAAGCUUUACCUUUGUAAACUAAGAGAUACAUAUAAAAAAGGAAAAUUUGUCAUGCAUAAAAAACCUUGGCAUAUAUAUCUGGCUACAUAUUUUUACAUAUGCAUAUUUGUAUUUUACAUAUACAUAUUUUUAUUGUGUUCCAGGAUUGAAGAGUAAUCAUAAACCCUGUGCAAAACAGAUGAGGUGACCUUAGCUUCAACCCUCCAGUUCUCUUGCAUGAUAUCUAAUUGCAAAAAUUUAUAGCAGGGUUUAAGAGCAGAUAUGGCUUAUUUAUCCAGAAACAUCUGAUUGUAUAUAAAGUCAUGAAGUAACAUUCUGUAAGCACCUGGGCACUCAGCUGGAGUAGGGGUAUGCAAGAAUCUUCUUCACCAUAUUUUCCUUAACUUGGUUUUCACGUUUCAGCCUGAGAUACAGGCUGGGGCCUUGUCUUGACCCCUAGCUCUGGUGCAUUCCAAUCCUUUGGGAGGUGAGAGCCUGACACAGGUCUGCAGAAGAUACUGCUAAGGUCAAAAGCUCUGCUUAGAGCUCAUUUUGACUGUAGGUGUUUCCAAAAAUGUAGAGCAUUUCCAAGAAUGUGGGGGCAGAAAACAUUUUAGAACUCUCUAUCUCUGUAACCAUGGAUGUGACUUAAGUAACAAUGGGUAAAGUGUAAGAACCACAAAGAAUGCCAAGUGUGGUAAAAGUAAAGGAAAACUUAGAUGCUGAAGUCAUUCCUACUCCACUUUUAAAGUAAAAGGCAUUAGGCUGGGUGCGGUGGCUCACGCCUAUUAUCCCAGCUCUCUGGGAGGCUGAGGCAGGUGGAUCACCUGAGGUCAGGAAUUAGAGACCAGCUGGGCCAACAUGGUGAAACCCCAUCUCUACUAAAAAUACAAAAAUUAGCUGGACCUGGUAGUGCAUGCUUGUAAUCCCAGCUACUCGGGAGGCUGAGGCAGGAGAAUCACUUGAACCCAGGAGGUGGAGGUUGCAGUGAGCCGCAAUCAUGCCAUUGCACUCCAGCCUGGGCGACAGAGUGAGACCCCGCCUCAAAAAAAAAAAAAAAAAAAGGGAAGGCAUGAUGAUUAUGAAAAUAAAUGGAAUUUUCAGUGAUCUCAGCAAUUUUUUAUUUCAAUUGUGAGCCAAAUGUUUAUUAUGGCAAACUUCUUUAACUGUUUUCAAAUGUCUAAUGUUUAUAUUUGAAAACUGCCUUCAUUAAGAAGGUAGUAAGAGAGUGAGGAAAUCAUAUGCAGGAUGUCUGUUUUGGUAUACGUGUGUUUUUUGAUUUUUUAAACUUACAAUUUUUAUUUUUUACAUGGAGUGGCAGAAGUAAAGAUGAGAUUAGUGUGGGAUAAAAAUUUAAAAAGCAUAUCUGAUAUGUCAUAUCAUCAGUGGUAGCUUUUAAAGUCCAAUGUUGACUUUGUGAAAUGUUUUUAUAACACUUUUUAGUGUUAAAAAUUAUGUUUAUAAAUCUAUUAUGGGUCUUUGCAAAUAGAAAUAAUGUUCAUAAUGAAAAAGUAAAACACCCUCUUUCUCUAGAGCUACACCAUGGGGUGGAUAAAGGGAUGACUCUUCUUACCUUUAAGACAGAUGCUAUCACAAAAAUAGAUUCACAGUCUAGGUGUACUUCGACUCCAGAAUUCAAUUUCUCUUUUAGUUCUCUGCAGGAUUUCACAUUGGCUGAUUGCCUGAAGAUACCUUUGGUGAGAGGUCCUUUUUGAUUAAGAAAGAAAAGCAUAUCCUAUGGGGAAGCAAAGGAAAAUAAACAAAAUGACACUUCCACACACACAAAUAAGGGAAUGUACACUUGCCCUCUUUGGAUGCCAGAGGCUAGGGUGUGCUAGGGUAAAAGCACUGAAGGAUUGGAGCUAAAUAAAUGGCCGGAAAAAUUAAAGUCACCUUUUUGGAAAGUGGAAGGGUGGUUACCAGGGGCUGGGGGUGGUGGUGAGCAGGUUGGGGAGAUGUUGGUCAAAGGAUACAAAAUUUCAGUUAGGAGGAAUAAGGUCACAUGAUCUAUUAUAUAAAAUUAUGAUUAUAGUUAAUAAUGCAUUAUAUUCCUAAAAAUUGCUCAGAGAGUGAAUUUUAAGUGUUCUCUAAUUUUCCUUUCUAUCACUACGUCCUGCUUACAGUGUAAGAAGAGAAUGGGUUUUGAAGACAAGCAAUCCAUGGGAUCCAAAACCUAGUUAUGCCACUUGGUUACUGUGUAACAUUGAGUGCAGUACUGAGGUUUUAAAACAAUUUGUAAACGGAUGAGAUGAUGACAUGAUAACAACUAUCCCCUAAAUUUGUUGUGAAGAAUAAAUAAAGUGGCUAGACAAGU